UGGGUAACCUGCCUCAAAGAGGGGAAUAGCCUCCCCGAAAAGGGAGAUUAAUACCGCAUAAUAUGUUUAAGUCGCAUGACUUUAACAUCAAAGGUAUUUUCUUUUAGAAAUUCCACUUUGAGAUGGACCCGCGGCGCAUUAGCUAGUUGGUGAGGUAACGGCUCACCAAGGCAACGAUGCGUAGCCGACCUGGAGGGGGUNAUCGGCCACAUUGGAACUGAGACACGGUCCAGACUCCGUACGGGAGCAG
rnacentral:rRNA from 1 species